CCAUUGGGAACUUAUGGUAUAAACUGCACUGGAAGAUGUGUGGAGGGUUUUUACGGAAAACUCUGUAGGUAUGAGUGUUACUGUCCUAUAGAGAGGUGUGAUGUAAGAUAUGGCUGUCAAAUGGAAAGCAUGGGAAAGUACAGAGAGGGUCCUAGUGAGUGGACAAACCUGACGUAUGCCCUGGUUGGAUCUGUAAUUACCAUGAGUCUGAUUGGUCUACUGUUCUAUCUUAGAUCCUGUAGGUUUUCAAGGCCACGUGAUUGUUUUGCUCCGUCUGAUGGGCUCAAUACAGAACCAACUUAAACUCAGAGGGAUGGAUUGGAAUCUCAAGGAAGCUCUUCAUCAGGUGGAGCCGGAAAUGUUGUAUCGAGCACACGUGAACAACCAGAUGUAAAUACUUAUACGGAUUUGAGAUUUUCCAGAAUGCAGUCUCUGUAUGACAGUUCUCCUGACUGUGGAGGUGGAAUAGAACCAACAGCGCCAUCUGUCGACUCCAUUCCAACUCAAGGCUGUAAAGAUCAAAAAGAUAAAGAAGUGAAAGGCAUUGAUGACGAUGACGAUGGUGGAAGUGAUGAUGAAGAUGAUGAUGAUGAUGAACAUGAAGAAGAACAUGAAGAUGAUGAAGGAAAUAAGAGAAAUUUUCAAAAAAUAAAUUAAUAGUUUCUCGUCUUCAAAUGUCACGUGUAAAAUAAAUAAAAUACCAAAAAAGAUACAUUUUUAGAACUUUAAUGGGAAUGUUUAAUACUGUAGGUGAUAUAAGG